AAGUCGUAACAAGGUUUCCGUAGGUGAACCUGCGGAAGGAUCAUUAACACGUUAUCCACGUAUCAACCAACGAGAACCCGUUUUCGACCCUCUCUUCCUGAGAAUGAAUUGGAGCUUGCUUAGAGUUAUUGAAUGGGAUGCUUGCGUCAGACUCUACUCGCCACUUGCUAAAGCGUCGAAAGAUGCCAGGCAGACAAUUGGAUCUCUGUGUAAGACUCUCCUCUCACCGUUCGGGUCUCCAUUCAUUGACUUUUUCGGUGGGAACUCAUAUUAACCCAUUUCACCCCCUUUUUUUGCUAGUUGACUUUUAUAUGUUGUUCGAUGUCUGCCUCGGCAGUGCGAGCACACGUUUAAUUAUUUGAACGUUAAAAAUACAACUCUUAGCAAUGGAUAUCUAGGUUCUC
rnacentral:misc_RNA from 1 species